rnacentral:snRNA from 1 species
GUUCUCGCUUUGGUAGCAUAUAUACUGACAUUGGAACAAUACAGAGAAUAUUAGCAUGGCCCCUGUGCAAGGAUGGCUUGCAAAUUUGUGAAACAUUCCAUAUCGAA